rnacentral:misc_RNA from 1 species
CACCCACAUACCACAUUUUGGUCAUUAAACUUGUUGGUUUUGGUCAUUUUCUCAAAGCUUAGGUCAAUUUGGCAAAAUUGCCAAUUUUCGGUUUUGGUGCUCCGAAGUUGCACUAUUCCAUUGGUCGAUCUACUGUUGGAAUUUGACAAAACUUCCUUCAUAGAAAAUGUUCCUUAUUGUCUUAAGUGUAUUCUCAUUUUUGGAUCACCUCAAUCGGAGUUUUGUAGCUCAAGUUAUGGUCCAAAAACCACAAUUGGCCGGAUUGAAAUUCUGUCCAGAAUUUCUGGACUAACCAUAACUACAGUGUAAUGAACAGUGACUGCAACUCACUUGUUGAACAGGUUCUGGUCAUAAUUUGGGUUAGGUUUUUUCAUGAAAGUUUUUGGUCUAUAUCUCAGCUUGUUGCUGGUAAAUUUUCAGGUCAGUUGGACCUUUCUACACUGAUUUAUGGCCAAAUGACUAAACACUGUUCAUUUGGUCAUUUUGCCCAGGCAGACUGCAGGUCACCGGGAUUAGGGUAAGCUUUUGAUCCACUUAGUUUGGUUUGGUUUUAUUGGUAUUGUUUCUUCACCAAAGUUGUGCCAU